CUCGCGUCCGGAUCCCCUUCCUCUCCGGUCUCUGUCCUCACCCACCUGAGCCCGACGUUGGGACGAGAGCGCUCCAACUCUCCACAUGGCAAUCCCCCCCGACUGGGCUCAAAAGAGGGAUAGACCAACUCACCAGGAAUGGCCACAGGAUAAGGGAUAGAAAAUAAGGAAGAAUAAGAAGAUGAAGCAUGGCAACAAACCAUAGGCAGCCCAAACUACACCUUAUUCAACUAGAUAAAUAGCUGUUACAUUUAUAUGCCACCAGAUGCUAUGGCAACAUUAGUUGGUUACAUCAAAUUCACUAUUAGCUGAUAUCACUGGAAUAAACAACAAAUGUGCAGAUUUUUCAAAACCAAGUUGUUUGCAUCUGUUACAUAUUUCAUGUUUCUGCUCCCGGAAAGCCUCUAUUGAAACUGAUUUGAUAUGCCAUCCUCAGGACUUUAAGGAAUGUUGCUCCACAUCUCAAAAGGUAACAACAUGGAUUUUUACAACAUACUCCUUAGCAAGACGAAAUUACAACAUAGGCUGUAGGAAAAUUUCCACUUGAACAAUAAACUGAAAGCUUUGUAAAUAUAAAAUGA